UUCUGUGUGUGCAUGCUAACAGCCUCCACAGUCCAUUCCUUCUUCCCGGAGAGCACAUGCAGACACACAUAUGCUUUAAGUCCAGCCUUCCAUGAAUUCUAGAAAAAGACUAAAAUAGAUUCAGUACCUCCCUCUAAGAUGAUAAUGAUGACUCUGGCACUCAUAGCAGGAACAUAUAGUCAAAGGAGUAAAUUCCACAUAAGAGUUAGUUGUGCACAAGGGUAGAAUCAAGGGAUUCUGGAGGAGUCAUUACUUAGAUGUUGAGAUAGAGUCUCCUUAUUGGGCCCAGGCUAUCUUUGAACUUGAAGCAAUCAUCUUUUUCUUAUUAAUCACAUAUUUAUUUAUUCAUUGAAAUUCAUGCAUGUAUAAAUGUAUUUUGAUCAUAUGCGCCCCUACUACUUUCAACUCCCUACGGACCUCCUAUUCUGUCUUCUUCCUGGCUUCAUGCCCUGUCACCACCCCCACCACCCCAUCCCCAAAUCCAAUUAUUGUUGUCUACAUGUGCAGGCAUAUGGGUUCAUCCAGUAGGGCAUGGGCAACCUACCAGCAAACAAAAGUGACUCUCCCUCAACAACCAUUUAUAAUCCUUCUUUGCUAGGCUCAGAGUUACUGUCCAUGCUGGAAUUCUGACUGGCUUGAUCCUGUGCACAGCGGCGGUGCAGUGAUGUUUAUCAGCCAUGUCAUGUCUAAAGGGCAGCAUUAUCAUAGCUCCCCUCCACAUUCUUUGGCUCUUUCACUCUCUCUGGGCCUUCUGCUGCUGACCUGUGGAUGAGGGACAUUGAUGUAGAUGACCCACCUAUGGUUGGACCCUCACGUCUCAUCAGAUCCUUGGGUGCUAGGAUUAUAGGUGCACACCACCACAUCCUGCUCAGUGAUACUUAGUGUUUUGAGAUUUGUCAUUUGGAACCAAUAGUCUUGGCACCAUCCAACUUUAACAUAAGGCAGGUGGUUAAAGUUUGUGGGAAAAAAUACAGGAUAGCCUGUCCCAUUUAGAUUUCAGGUUAAACUAUGACUGGCUCUCAGUAUAAUUAUGUUCCCUAAAAUACUUAGGGUUUAUUUGUAUAGAAAAUUAUCCUAUCCUUGUCUCGAACUUGGCUUUCACUAGAGUCUUAUAUUUUCUGUUUGCUAAAUAUGGCAACUUUACCUGAGGUAAAGAAUAGUAACGUUUGUAGCUAACUGAAUGAGAGCAGAGCCAUUCAUCCCGAGAUGGUAAAAACCUAAUGCCAAUUGUAAAGUUUUCCCAGCAUGCCUGGCUUCUUCCCACCUGUACUCUACAUCCUCUAAGAAGCCCAGUCUGUGUAAUGUCAGGAUGUUGGUAUGGCCUUUGAGUUGCUAUCCAAGGGUGUAUCCCAUUAGCUUUCACUGAUGGCGUUCCAGUUGCAAUGAUUCUAAGCACAUACAACUUGUUGAAAGUGGAUGCUGGGUUGAGUCUCUGUUUGCAAGCAUUUCAUGAGUUCAGGGAAGGCUUGCAUAUCUCCAACUGGUGACAACUUACAGAACCAUGAGCGAAAAGAAUAAGAUGUUAAAUAUUCCAUGAGGAUUGGAGAUGAACGAAGAGUCAAUAGAGGAGGGUCCAAGUAUGGAGGGAUUAGAGAGGUUCUUAUAGACGAUGAUAUUAGCUCACAGCAUUCCAUGUUGAGCAGUCAGAACCAUCAAUGAGACAGAAAUCAGAAUGUGUGCCCAAGAAAGUUUCCAUUCCAACUUGAGAGGCAAUGAUCCAUUCAUUCAUUUGUGUAUUCAGCGGAUACAUGUCAAACUUUGAAGCACGAAUUAGUGAAAAAUUGUAAAUGUGUAAAGAGCUAUGAAGAAGAGACUCAUGGUGCUAUGAGGUGUAUGAAAAAUGCAGUGGGGGUGGAGACCACCAAUGAUUGAGUUACAUUGUGAAUGGAGAACAGAAUUAAUGAGAUGACAAGAGAGUAGUGAGAGCCUUAGGGGAGGAGAAUACAGAGCAGAUGAACUUGUCUGCAUCAGGAAGACCCUAGUGCUGACAGGACCAGGAGCAUCCAAGACCAGUUGUGACUGAAACAUAGGGAUUGUGGUGGAAUGGUAGAUUGGAAGUGUUAAAGCUCUGAACACUUUGACACCUGCUGGGAAUUUUAUCUUAAUUUUCAGGGCACGGUGGAGCCCUGUAUUUAAAUGGGGAGGAAGAGCAUCGUGUGGGCAGGGAAGGUUAUGAUGUAGGAAGGUUAAAGGGACAUAGACAAGAAGAGGGAGAGAAGGCUCUGAGGGUUCCCUGAAACGGUGCCUUCUUGUUCCCAGAACAAUAUUGCAAGGAGAAAUGCUAGAAAGGCAUUGGGGGUAGGCAUCUAAACAGGACCAAUAAGGGAAAGAGGGGGGACCCAGGAUGAAACUGUUACUUUCCCCUUCUAUGUAGCUUGGUCUUCUGUCUUUCCCAGAUGUUCAACUCUUUUGUCUUUCCUGGAUGUUCUUUGUUCUGCCAAGGUUCACACUCACUGAUCUUACACUGACCACCAGCAUCCCUGUUAUGGAAAAGUAGCCAAAUAUCUGAGAGUCAAGUAGGUAGGGAGCAACAGUAAUGACAGUUAUUGGGAAAGCAACACACUGUUUGUCAUCUCUCCAUACAAAAGAAGUAGCUCCAUGGGGACUCUGAUCAGUAUGUAGGUGGACCCUGGGGCUUAGCUUAGCACAGUAAGCAGGAUUUCACAAGCUACAGUUCUGGGUUCGGCUGGAGGGUGGUAAGGCAUGGAGCAGGGAACAGCCUGAGUCCAGCAGCACCCACAGGGCUAUGCCAACCUCAGCAGGCCAGGGGAAAGAAGGCAGGCUGGCUCACGUGCCAGCUACCCUGUGUCCUUCAUAACAGUCCAAGCUCUGGAGACAGAGUCAGAGGGAGAAGAUCAGCUUCUGAAUCUAGACUGCUCCUGUUGAGAUUGUCAUCACUGGCCCCCUUUCUGCCAAGUGUAUUUGUAAUAAUGGGCGGCAUAGUUCUAGAACUCUUCACCUACUUGUGGCAAUUCUCCUGCCCACACUUACUCCACAGAGGCUCCUCUGCCUUUGCUGGCUGCAUUCACAAAAGGAUUGCUCAAAAGUGAGGGUUCUGGUGUAUGUCGGGGGCAGGUGUUUGUGAGGCGAUGCCCAGGUAUCUGUGUGCUUAUGGCUAUAGGGGUCAGAAGGUCAACUUUAUUUCUGAAAACAGGGCCUACUAUUGGCCUAGAGCUUGCCAAUUAGGCUAGGCUGGCAGGCUAGUGAGCCCCAGGGAUCUGUCUCUUUCUCCCCAGUGCGUGCUGUACCUGGCAUUUUUGUGUGGAUUCGAGUUAUUGAACUCAGGUCGUCAUGCUCGCUCAGCAAACGCUUUACCAACUGGGCUAUCUCUCAGCCCAUCUUCCACAGCAUUUUGGUUUAGUGAGUUUAGAUCAUGUAUUAAUACUUAACUACAACUCUGGAUUUAACAGGGGCUUUGCCAUGAUUUGUGGUAUCAAGAAAUAGGAAUCUACUUACGUGGCAUUGUAUCUUUGGCGCAAACUUAGAGAAGUCUCCCGCUCCCAAUGGACAGCAUACAUCUAUGGUGAGGCACAGUACCGAUAUCCUUUCUCUGUCUUUCUAUCUCUGUCUCUCUGUUAUUAGUCCCCUGACCCAUCUAAUAGACUCGUGUCCUUGAGCCCAUCUAAUAUCAGUACGCUAUGCCUUUGUGACUGGUAUAGAAUUUCACUCACGGUGAGCCGUGAAAACCAGCUCACAGUUCCACACAGGAACCAUCUGGGGGGCUAGGCUAUUGGGAAAGAGACAGAGCGCAGAAGGCAGAGACCCCAUGACAGCUAUGUGAGUGCAUGUCACUGAGACCCUUUUCUAAAUGAACCCCACGAACCCAAAGUCCGCCAUGAAGACAGACUCCGACAUCACACCAGUGUUUUUGAGCAUACGUAGCCAUUUUCUUAACGCUACUAACCUUUCACAGACUUCAGAGCAUUGGGCUAUGGGAUGCUCUGAGGUGGCAUCUGCCAGGAAGGGAGGCUUAGAGCCUCACAAGUCACAUGUCUUGAACAUCAGCAUUUUUUUUUCUUGACAGCGUUUGGGCCUGGUGCCUCAGCUGGCUCUUCUGGAGAAGGUGCGAACGCUCUUCUCUGAACUUUGCUUAGUAAGUCUGACGCUCUUGUGUUCUGUAUCAAGAAUUGGAAGGGAAGCGGUUUUGUGGUUCCUCUCUUCCUUUCCUUUUGUUUUUUCAUCAAAAUUUCACGUCACUUGAAGAUUUUGUGACCUGUUUCAGAGGGCAUUACACCGCCCAAGUUCUCUUGGUAGCAGGACCGAAUGUUGCUGUCUGAAGGACCACAGGUCAUGAAGGCCAUGACACAUUGGUGACUGUGCAAGGGACGUUUUUGUCAGUGAGGAGGUUGGGGGAGAAGAGCAAGGCAAAUAGAUGCCACCAGAGGGUGAUGGCCCUUGGGUGGCAGGACUCAUCAGAGCUGAUUAUGUCUCAAAGUGAGGCGAAGCUCAUCAAAGGCCAGGGUGGGGGGCGUUAGGCUAUCAUUGCAGUCUCAGAUAUGGCCUAUGUUGAUCUUGUUAGAGGAGGAGGUGCUGUAACCUGUGGGCUCUUAGUGAUGCUUGUGGCUUUCUGUGGGGUCAAGUAAAAUGGCUGUGGGCAGAACUGAAAGGGUCCUAGAGGGACUCAUGAGCAACUCGGAGUAAUUACUGUUCAGGAUCAGAGCUGACUUCAGAGUGAAAAGGGAACCAAGUGAGAAAGUUGUUUCUUCUCCCCACUCCAGUCACCCCAGGCAUACUGAGAAGCCUUGCAAAAUAGGAGCCUCAGGUAGCCCCAGGGCUUCUUGUGUUGCGUCUUAUCUCAGAGCUAGGAAGGAAGAGCUGUUUGGCAAGAGCAAGACACCUGAAAGGACAAAUGCCUGAAGUGGCUUAGUCAGACACUUGCUGGAGCUCACUGUCUCUAGAAGACCCUGCAAUCUCGGAGGCCACCUAGAAGAUGGGCAGAAAUGGCUACUCCCAAGAGUCUUUAAAGCAAGUAAUUUUAUAAUCUGCAAAAGCAAUGGAACCAUACAAGACACACACACACACACACACACACACACACACACACACAUACACACACUGCUGUGUUUUGUUAGUUUGUGUGUGUGCCUGCACGUGUGCACACACAUGCAUGGGCACCUGCCUUAACCUCCCAAACAUUGGGAUUAUAGGCGUUUGGUGUCAUAUAGGGCUUGAGAGCUUGACGUGGUAGAGGACACUUUCAAGGUGAGCUUGGUCUUAUCCCCUAACAUCAGUCUUACAAAAGAGUUGAGCCCAAUUUUAUUGGUAUGUUGUGUAAUAAUUGAGUCUAAGAUCUCCAGACGCAAAUAAUUAUUUAAUGAAGUGGACCGUGUAUGCAAUGAAAUGUUGUUGGCCUACUCAGAAUUCAAAGUCAAAGACCCCAAAUCCCCAGCUGUCUAACACACACACACACACACACACACACACACACACACACACACACAAACACACACACACACACACACACACACACAAACACACACACACACUGGGGCGUGGGGGGGGAGAAAUCCAAACAACCAAACCUCUUAGGAAUAUUUAAUUCCCGUCAGUGACACCCUAGCACGUAUGACACCUUACCACAUUCCCCGCAGUAACCUCAGCUUGUCCAUCUGCCUGCCUCCGUGCUGAGGUUAUACCAUUAGGGCUUCACAGCAUGCAACUUUUGCUUUUAAAUACAGACAACCCCAGAAAGAACUAAAUCACCAUUAAUUAUGUUACAUUCUAGAAUAUAUAAAAUAGUUCAGCCUGCCUAGUAUAAUGGGAUCAUGUAUAGGAAUGGGUUCAGAAAUAUGUUAGUAGGUUUACAGUAAUCCCCAGAGUACCAAACAUGGGUUAAGAAGUUUCCACAAGUCUCUCUGCUCUCCCUCCCGCAGCUGGUUUCUACCCCAGUGCAUCCAGAAUUCCUGGAAUAAAACCACCUGGACAGGCAGCACAGAGAAGCACUUAGAGGAUGGAGUUUAGAUUCAGGAAUGAUAGCCACACUUAACUACCUAAAACAAACAAGUGGACACGACCAGCACAGCUGAGAUCUUGAAGGAACCUACUCAUCUUAUAGGCCUCCGAUGACGUAGCUCUGAGGUUCAACUAAUUGCUUCUCUCUGGACCCCGAAACCAUUGGCCUGUGCAUGCCUGAGCCUGCCUCCUCCAGCAGCAGCAAGGUCUAGGGAGUGUUGGUCACUAGGCUCUAUUUCUUUUUAUAGAUUAUUAGCAGAUCUUCAAAGCAACCAUGGGCUUUGUGUUAGCCAAUGGGAAGAAGAAGAGUGUGUCUUUUUAACUGUUGCCUCGUUAACCUGGUUCCUUGAAGAGCAAAACCAAACUGUUGUAUUGAGAGCCAGUUGCAAGAGUCCCUCUCAGCAUGAAGCCCAGGAACCAGCUUAGAACUGAAGUCAUUGUUUGCUCUGAGCGUCACUGAAACACUUCAAGUUUGCACGUAUUCUCAUCUCAAAGUUUUACGGGAGUAAUAAAGGUGGUUUAUUACCACA